GGCUCUGUUGAAACUCUCUUUUUCUCCUUAUAAUAAUAAUUUCCAUGUGAGAUUGUUCAGCAAAUAAUGGUGCUUGCUGCGCAAGCCUGGAGGUCUGAUAAGCCAUUCACUGAUAACCAUGAAAAUGUGAAAAGAGAGAGCCAUCAACUUCAUCAACUGUCCUCUGAUCUCUACACUGCUGUGGCACAGUGUCCAUCACCCCAAAACACUACAAAGAAGAAUGAAAGAACGUUACAGUUACAUAGGAAUAGUUUCAGAGAGGUCGUGUAAUUAUGACAUCAUCUCUGAAAUCUUUUCUUUGAUGGUCAAAGUUCUGUAUAAUUAUAACUCAGUGGUAAAUCCACUGCUUUGGGCUCAAAGCCCAAUUCCAGAACCCUUUUAUUUUCAUCGUCCCACCUUUGAGAAAACUCUUCUUUUAGGGGUUUGGGUUUUGGAUCUGAGAGAAACUGUCAUGGGUUAAUUAUAUUCAAAGCCACCCUCUUGACUUCUAUUUCAGCUGUGACAUUGGCCUUCACACUUGGGUUAACUUGGAUUCUCUCUUGAUGGAGAGUGAGAAGAAGUUUGUGUGUUUUCUUUGCCUGGGCAGCAAUCUGUAUUUGAUAUAAGACUGUAAAAUUCACAGAGCAGAAAGACCUUCAACACAAUAUGACCACUGUGGGACUCACUCCUUCCACGCUGAAAACUACAAAACCUCUUCACCAUAGCUUCUAACACUUUUUCCAGUAAAAAUCAAAGCAACAGAACUAUAAGGCGAAUGACAAUCUCCAAGAAGAACACAAGGCAUGACAAAAGCCUUGGACUGCAGCCUGGUUUUCUAACUCUGGAUGCCUUCAAAGCACCGAAUGAACACAGAAGCUAUGCAUUCACAAGGAAGAAGGCCCCGGCCACCCAUGAGCAGGACUCUCGCCAUCCAUAAGCAAUACUGUCACCACCUUUGACGGGGUCACCAGCUACUAAUGAGCAGGACUCAGCAGGACCCCAGUCAUCAUUCUCUAGAUAAAGAUGAGAAGAAGAAAUUAAUCUGGAUGGAUGUUUAAAUCCUGGAGCUAUCAGCUUACAGAGAAUCUGAUUUCAAUAUAGAAGUAUCCAUCUGAUAAUGCCAUCUUGGGUUUUUACAAGACUAUGGGCUUGGCUUUCCAGAGCUGUGUCUAUGCAGCUUGUUCUCCAACUCUGUUUCUUACGGUAAAAUGGGAAAGUUAUUCCAGUAUUGUGGGUGAAGCUUGAAAUCUUCAAGAUGGACGAAGAAAAAUAAACAAAAAAAAAGCAAAACAAACAAAAAAAACUGUUGGGCAAGCAUAAAAUCUCAUUUGAACCCCUCCAUCUUACCUCUGUGGAUGAACUAACAACAGAAUAAAUCAAUUAUCAUGA